CCACAAUUAAACUAUACUCAAUGGAUUGACAAAAAUUAUUGCUACUUCUUAUUAAACCAGAAUCAAUAACUAUUUUCUUUACCAGUUAGUAAUUUUAAACGAGACAUUUGCCUCAUUAAAACCAAAAGGUAAAGGUUAUUGUGUACUUUGGCAUGAAGUUGUAGCAAGCAGAAAGGGUGAACAUAUAACAGAUGCCAUAUUAGCAUUAAUAAAACAGGAAAGAGAUGUGAAAGAUUUCAUAUUUUGAGCAGAUAACUGCACCGGACAAAAUAAAAAUUGGAUCUUAUUCACUGCUUUGGUUUGUACAUUAAAUACCAUCUAUAAUACUGUUGACAGUAGUAGUUUAAGUACUUGACCAAACGCCAUACACAUGAGUGUCAAUGUUACGCAUGGCAACAUUGAAAAAAAAUCGGAAAAGUAAGAAAUGCUUACGACUAUAAUUUAAAAAAAAAAAAUUUAAGAGAGCACAUAAAACUUAAAAAAACUUAAAUUAGUUAUUACCAUUGAUGUCAGAAAUAGUUGAAAUUUGUGGAUUAGUUUACCAGUAUCUGUGACGUCUACCGAUCUAGUUGAGAACAUUGGUCCAGCAGAUACAUUUCUAAAUGAACGUGCUUGAUAUAAGACCGAAGUUCUAACUAUUUGUAGCAAAGAUUGCACAUAAGGUAAGAUAAGUUAAGAAGUAAUUUUGUUGUGAAUUUUUAUAUUUCAUUAUAUAUACAUUAUAGGGUGGUCCUUAUGUAUAGAUGAUGACAUUUUUUUUUUAAAUUUUUGAUUGGGCCACCCCUGGAAUUUGUUCAAAACAACAAAAUAAUGAUCUGUGUGAAGUUUUGUAAAUAUUGAUUAACCCUAAGGCGUGCCUCAGGAGGGUUGAAGUUCAAAGAAGGGUGGUUUUUCGAUUUUUGCAAUUUCGGCCUAAAAUAUUUAAGUUAGGCGAAAAAGUGCUUUAACAUAUUAUUUUUUAAAUUGAAUAUGCUAUAAAAAAUGUAACUUGUACUUUUUUUGUUUAAUUACUCAUUCCAACACAAAAUAAAAAAAACUAGUAUUUAAUAUAUUUUACAUGAUUAUUUCGGUUAACAGCGUUAGGCGUACAGUUAACACGUUGGGUUUGUAGGUAUUAAACCAUCAUAGUUUUACUAUCUAAUCAAAUUAAGUAGGUAGAUAUUGUAGAUAAUCUUUGGUGUUCAACUAUAUUAUUCCACUAUAUCUUUAUUAAGAUUAUAGUGAAUAACUAAAUAAAAUAAUCAUUGGGAUUUUACAAUUAACUAUUAGCGUCUACAGAUUAUUAUUAAAUAACACGUUAUAGCGAUAAAGCUUAUUUAUGCUUGUAAGUAUUUAGUUGUUGGACGGUCGUCGAUCACGAUAUCGUUCUUGUGUUAUUUUGUUCGUUUUUACGUUAGUUCAAUGUAGUUAUUCAUUUAUAUGUUUUCCGUUGUUUUUUUUAAUUAAUGUUAAAGUGUUGUAAUAAUAUGACGGACAAAAUUAAUUUGCGUGAAAAUAUUUAUUUAAUUAAACAUACUACACAUCAACUUUUUGGUUGUAAAUUACCUUCAAAUAAACAAGUUCUAAGGGUUUUAUUUCAUAAUAUGCGUGAAGUCAAAUUGAGUCUACGAGAUAGUGCUCGAUUAGUCAUAGAAGAGGUUAUAAUAUUUUGGCAAAAAGCUCGUAUUCCGAACAGAGAAAUACGUCAUUGUAUACCAAAAUUAGAAGCGAUGUACAACGAAUGGCGAAAUUUGCAAAAAAAUUCGUCCAGGCGAAC
rnacentral:lncRNA from 1 species